UCACGUGUUGAUUAUUCCAUUGCCUCACAAGUGAAUUUGAAAUCAAUAAAAUUAAGAAAAACAAAUUGGUAACAAAAUAAAUAACCUUGAACUACACCCUAUUAAUUAGUGUCCAACAAGUACAAUUCGUGAAAAAUGUUAUCAAAACUAGCGGCGUACCUGUUUGUUUUGAUGAUACUAAGUUUAACGGAAGCAGAUGGAUCUAAAAACGACUUAGAAGAUGAAGUUAAUCGAAAAAGUGAACCUAUAUUUUGUUGUCUAGUUCCUCAAUGUCAAGGUGCGAGGUGUAUCGAUUUCUACAGAUGUGGAACAAUUUGUGCUUCGGGAAAAUAUCCUAAUGGCAAUAUAGUGAAGACCCCAGGAUAUAAUAAGCCUUAUUAUGUACCAUUCUUUCCGUGAUACGAAUUAUUUUUGUAUUUGAAAUUUUAAUAAAGACUGAACUGCGUAGUUUUA